UACGGAGGACACAAGCGUUAUCCGGAUUUAUUGGGUUUAAAGGGUGCGUAGGCGGUUUAUUAAGUCAGUAGUGAAAUGUUGCAGCUUAACUGUUAAAAUGGCUAUUGAUACUGAUAAGCUGGAGUGAGAUUGGAGUAGCUGGAAUGUGUGGUGUAGCGGUGAAAUGCUUAGAUAUCACACAGAACACCGAUCGCGAAAGCAGGUUACUAAGUCUAUACUGACGCUGAGGCACGAAAGCGUGGGGAGCAAACAGG
rnacentral:rRNA from 1 species